UCAGGUGUCGCAAGACUCAAUAGAGAAGCCGGUAAUUUUGAAGUCUUUGAAGUCCGGUGCGGUCCCGCCACUGUAUCAGCGAGUGCCCUGCAAACAUGUCACUGGGGAUGGCAAAGCAUCUCUGGGAAGGCGCAGACGCACGAUGACCUGGAGCCAGGAGAACUGCCUGAUCAUC
rnacentral:ncRNA from 1 species